ensembl:snRNA U5 U5 spliceosomal RNA
CGACUCUGGUUUCUCUUCAUUACGCACAAGCCUUUCGCCUUUACUAAAGACUUCCGUGGAGAGGAACACUUACGAGUUCAACAUAUUUUUGGAAGGGCUUUGCUUCUGGCAGAGCC